UACGAGGGGUCCAAGCGUUGUUCGGAAUCACUGGGCGUAAAGCGGGUGGUAGGUGGCUUUGCAAGUCAUGUGUGAAAGCCCUGGGCUCAACCCAGGAAGUGCACGUGAUACUACAAAGCUUGAGUACUGGAGAGGAUGGUAGAAUUCCUGGUGUAGUGGUGAAAUACGUAGAUAUCAGGAGGAACACCGGUGGCGAAGGCGGCAUCUGGCCAAGUACUGACACUCAGACCCGAAAGCGUGGGUAGCAAACAGG
rnacentral:rRNA from 1 species